GAUGAACGCUGGCAGCGUGCCUAAUACAUGAAAGUCGAGCGAACGGACGAGAAGCUUGCUUCUCUGAUGUUAGCGGCGGACGGGUGAGUAACACGUGGAUAACCUACCUAUAAGACUGGGAUAACUUCGGGAAACCGGAGCUAAUACCGGAUAAUAUUUUGAACCGCAUGGUUCAAAAGUGAAAGACGGUCUUGCUGUCACUUAUAGAUGGAUCCGCGCUGCAUUAGCUAGUUGGUAAGGUAACGGCUUACCAAGGCAACGAUGCAUAGCCGACCUGAGAGGGUGAUCGGCCACACUGGAACUGAGACACGGUCCAGACUCCUACGGGAGGCAGCAGUAGGGAAUCUUCCGCAAUGGGCGAAAGCCUGACGGAGCAACGCCGCGUGAGUGAUGAAGGUCUUCGGAUCGUAAAACUCUGUUAUUAGGGAAGAACAUAUGUGUAAGUAACUGUGCACAUCUUGACGGUACCUAAUCAGAAAGCCACGGCUAACUACGUG
rnacentral:rRNA from 1 species